AAUGUGCUUGUUUUCGAGAUAUUAGCCCUUGGAAUUAUGGCGGGAAAAUGUUCUCUCUUGAUUUUUCAUUGCUUUAUCAUUGACCAGUUAAAGUUCUCAAAAACUAUGAAAAAAUAAAUUAGAUUUUAUAAGACUUUUACAAAUGGCUUAUAUUAAUACAUGUAAAAGAUUUAUAAAAAGAAAAAUGGAGGUUCAUGGGCAAAUUUUUUUAAGGCAUUCAAGUGGAUAAAACCAGAGGAUUUCGAAAAUCUGAUAAAAAAUCCAAAACAUGACAAGCAAACAUCCUUAAUUU
rnacentral:lncRNA from 1 species